GCGAACCUUUGCUGUAUUUUUUGUGGCUCGUAAUUUAAAGUAGAGACUAACACUUGUCGCUCAACAGAGGUUAGAGAAAGAUAGGCCUACCGUAAACUGUAAAAUUGUCGUCCAAUUGUAAAGAACGAUUUAGUAGGGAGCCACAUGCAGUUAAUCGAACGAACAAUAUAAUACGCAAUAUUGUCAAUGAUGUUGGGUAGUACUCAUGGCCUAAUAACUUUUUAGGCAUUCACGAAAUCGAUGAGAACAUAGCCGUUCAGCUGUUACGGGCGGCCGCUGGUGACGAUGUAACCCAUCUGCAGGUGGAAGACAAAGGCCGAACGACGCAGUACAAAAUUCUCAAAUACCAUGAACAACAGAUUGAAGAUGACGGGGAGGCUACAGCGAUGGGCGCAGAAGCCGACGAAAGCGAAGGGCACGUCGCUACAAUGGAGUCUGGCGUCGAAGGCGAGCCCCUAGUGGGUAAACCGAAUGAGGACGUACACCACCACCUUGUUGAGCAAACAGCCGAUACCUGCGAAAAGGUAAUUAAAGUACAACUAAUUAAUGGUUUACAGUAUGGACUAACCUAGUAAAAAGUACUGAUCGUUGUUUGGCCAGUUUAGGCAAGAAUAUGAGAAAAAACUGGCUGAAUACCAAUAUUUGGGGAUGAAAUUGUCUAAUGAGCACGACUUUUUGGGUUUACGAAACCUGUUGUUCAAUUCGUAUUUCUAGGAGCAUCUAUAAACAGGAGGCUUAACCUAUUUACUCCCAAUAAUAUAAUAUUAAAGCUCGUGGUAUCUAUGGCAUCAACUGCUUUUUCAUUGUGAAAAAUGGCGCCACUAAACAACAACACCGUAUGCCUCUACCCUGCUUAAGCUCCACUACCAUAAAAAGUACACAUAGUGUGAAGCGUACAAUCGUAACAGUGCGGUAGUGAUCAAUAAGACACUACCGCAAUUUGCGAUCACUGGCUUCAUCCCCAAAAGAUCGUGGAUAUUACUACCACAGUAGCUGAAGAAGACUAUUUCGAGUUCUAUUUCGAGUUACUGCCUCAGAAAUGACUUACAUCAAAAGGCUUCAUUCUCGAUCGGACCUUUCAAGCAAUAUUAUUGGCGGUACUUAGUUACCAUAGGAAAAACACAAUUGAGAGCUAUAUAAAAAAAAUUUUUAGAAUCAGUAGAAACUUUCCACAACAAGAACAACAGUAACACAACACCCGCGUGGCAGUCAACUGUUACUGGCCGAGAAAAAGGAGAGGAAUAGAUGUUUCUUCUCUCUGCCCCCGCAGAGAGCUGAGGCAUCGACAUGCAGCCUUAGAACAAAACUUGGAAGUAAAACACCAGCUUGUGUUCACGCAUCAUGGCGUCAAUACCUUAAGCAAAAAAGGGCUCUCCAUUCAACCGCCGUUGGUUUUUCAAAAACAAUUAAAGACCAAAACAAGUUAUAUUUUAGAGAUUUCUGAGAAUGCGCUUACAACUCAGUCUGUUUGUUCUAGAUUUACCUAAAGUAGAAUGGCGUAAGGAAAGUAAUUACUAGUAUGUAACUUGCUUCCUGUAAAUGCAUAGCUAAUGUAUAUUCGUAAUGAUUACAGAUCGUAAUGUCGGAUGUGACAGAAGCCCACGGAGCUAUUGAAGCAUCUGCUGUCGCUGGAACCCAGCUUGAAGACUCCGGCGCCACUAUGAUGGAGCAGCUAGGAACGGUAGCAGAACCGGGCGGUGUUUCCAAAGACCGAACUCAGACGGAGAUGAUCCUUGAAGAGCCUGAAGACGGUACACAGGACGCCUCCCAAGGCCAACAACAGCAUCAAGGUGAAUAGCUAAAUUAAGUAGAGUAUGGCAGAGAGAGAGGAUGACGUUAUGUGCAUAGCUUCUGUAUCACUACACGUUCAAUAUUUGUAUAUAUUUGAAUUUUUGAAGAACAACUAUUUGUAAAUACAGCUAGAAUAUUUUCAGCAGUAGUUUCCAACCUAUGUUAACCUAACGCAAAUGAAAGGAAAAGGCUACUCCUCUAAUGAGAAAUAAAAACAUCGAAAUAUAGGCGGUACAUUCUGUCUUCAAGGGACCGAAUACACUUAAUGUCUUAAAAUACAUAGUUUACUGGUCUAAAAAUACUGUCUUAAGAAAUCCGAGCGCUUUGACAUUAGCUUUAUGUGGUACUUUUUACAAUGUGGCAGCAGAAUGGCCGCCAUCGUAAGUCGAGUUUUUAGUUCUGGAAGAACGAUGGCGUUAGAUUUUGGUGUCUGUAUAUGUCUCCAUGAAAUUAAAAUGGUUUUGCGGGUGUAACGCACGCCGUUGUUCAAUGGGAAUCAGUCAUUUAAAGUAGUCAUCAAUAGCAGUGCCGGACGUGGCAUUUAUUUGAAUAUGCAAUAGCUAGUAUAGAGCGGUUGCGCAACUCUUAUUUUCUGUGUUUUAGAAAAAAACAUAAUAAUUGCGUGAUUUAUAUUUAAAACAUAAUUAGGUGGAGUGUUUGACUGCGGCUGUACAUCCUGUCAAAAAAUAACUCAGGUGUUCCAAGGCCAGCUUUGCAAAAACAGAAAUCUCACAUAGAACGAAAGAGCAAAUGCUGGCUUGACUUUAGCUUUCACUACAAGUAUAGACCGCGAAAGCGAGGUUCCAGGACCUUUUUUUUUAGGAAUUAUAAGCAAGAGGUGUCAAUUAUCACAGAGAUAACUGGCUUGUGGCGACCAAGCGUUCAUUGCAAUGUCGCUUUUUGAUCCUUCGGUGUCGGCUCUUCCUAUCAUUGCGAAACAGAUUUCGCCCAGUGUUGGGUUGUUUAUUCACCAAUGGGAAAUGUGAGGUGGGUUCAAAUCGUCGUGAGACAGGUUAGUCUUACCCAACUGUUCGUAAUUGUUACGGUGAUGUUGAUUCUGCUUAGUAUGAGAGGCACAAUAGGUUUAGAGAAUUGGUUUUAUGUUUGACUGAAAAAUCAGAGGUACUAAACUACCAUCGAGUGGAUUAUGACCCCGCGAAUUUAAGAAUAGUCAUAUCAUAAUAAAUACCACAGUUUUCCUUCCAACUUUCUUGUCGGCGCUUAUUUUUAUUCCUAACACCGGAUUAAUAUUGUUCCCAUGCACGUCUGCAAAGUGGGUACUAAGUGAAUAACUUCAACGACGAAACGGAGUCACCCCGUACAUAGUAUUACGUUUGUCUAUCUUUC
rnacentral:rRNA from 1 species